GUCUGUCAUCUGUACCUUUAGAAUGUUCAAGUUUCAUCUUCUAACCUUUUUACUGGCAGCCAUGUUUAUAACUUCUAGAGGGUCCGUCUCAUUCCCGCGAAUAGCCAAUGGAAUGAUGCAAUUAAUGGAUCACGGAUUUGGUGGAAAUCGUCCUGGAGAGAGUUUAAUGAUGCCCCGAGAAUGUGAUGAAUUACUAAUACCCUUUCUGCGAGCGAUUAUAGAACACCGUUCUCGGGCUGGUGACGAUGAUGGAGUUGUGACAGCAAAACAAUAUUAUAUGACAUUACACAACGCAAUAGUGGAACCUGGUUAUGGUUGUGAAAUAGACGUAUUACGAGAAGUCAUUUGUCUCGAUAAAAAUAGAAAUGGGCAAAUAGAAGAGAAAGAAUUGAAAGAAAAUUAAACGGGAUAUUGACUGUAUAUGAAAUCAGGUUAGCGGAUAAAGACAAAUUGAUAAAGAAAUAAAACGCUGUAAAAGUAAUCAUUUUUACAUCAACAUAUAAACUGAAUGCAAUUGAUGAAAUAUUAUAUUAACCCUCUGGGA